ACGGUAUUCAGGAUGUGUCUUUUCUUUCUAAGACAGCAACUGAUUUAUCUGCUCUGCAAAUGUUUGAGAGAGGUUCCGUCAUGAAAUAUACCUCUUCUUCUUCUGAUUUUGAAACCUUGCGGUCUGCGGUCACUGCUCUGCACUGCUUGUUCUAGUAUCUGUGGGGCACUGCUUGAUCAAACUUUAUUCUUAAUCUGCUCCAAAUCCAGUUUGCUUAUAACCUGGGAGCUGGUACAAGUUCAAUGUUUUGUAUGUUUUAAAGUUUCACGUGGGUGUUUUAGAAAGGUAAAGAGAUUUUUAAAUGCAUUUGUAGGAUGAGUUAUUCAUUAAGGCCUUUUAUUCAUUAUAUUUAUACUAGGAUAUUGCAUUGUGCCUUGUAUUUUAUUAUGCCAGUUAUAAACAAAGCUAUUAUUAUUAUU